rnacentral:lncRNA from 1 species
AAAAUUCCUUCUCUGCCACAUUGUUUUCUACAUCAGCCAUGCCCAACUUUUGAUCUAACACACAUUUGUAGUGAUUCCUCUGAAACCAUUUUUGCUUAAUUCUUUUAUUGGAAAAAAAUGUAUCUUAAAAGUCCAUCAUCAACUUUUUAAUAUAAAUUAUGACUCAAACUCAUUCCAAUCACCUUGUUAAGUGGUGGCAGCAGACAUACUAGAGAAGGUAGCUCGAGGCAGAAGAGCAUCAGCAGGAAGGACUGCUCAAAAAACUAACGCACAACUGGAGCUCAGGGUCACCCACACUAUGUCCAACCUUUUGCCAAUGGCCUUCCUGGGAGCAUGCUGCCAGGGGACACAGGUCCUCCAGCAAGUAUUCACGUAGCCUCCAAUUAAUAAGCUCCUCUAGGGCUAUGAGGUGAACUCCCUUAGGGAGGCAGCAGGCACAGAUCAGUUUCCACAACCCUGACCCAUUACCACAAAACAAGCUUCCUAUUACAAAGCUAAUGAGACCCCGGCCCUCUUUUCUAGGAGCAGUCAGGAGCUUGUCUGUCUUGUUCUGCCUUUCUAAUCAGCCUGCAAAGAAAGGGCCAGAACAAAAACACCUGAGAAAACAAAGGGCCUAAAGACUCUGCUCCUACAGCGCCUUCCCAUCUAAAGCACACUCUUUAGCCACGUGGUGACACCUGAUCUUCCAAAGUCCCUGAGUCUUACGCUGGGUUCAAAGACUAGAGCAGAGAGGCGCUUAGCACGGACAGCACAGCCAGUGCCUGCAGCUUCUGAUCCUCUGCUCUCAUCCCAGCACGGCCCGUCCCGUCUCUGCAGAGACUUGAGCACAAACAACACAGCUGAACUAAGGAUGUGCGGGGUUCUGCUGAGCCUGCCCUCUGAGGGUGCUGGCUCACCAGGCUGCGGGUGGGAAGGCCAUGUGGAAACCACUUAAGGAAAACACAGCUUGACUUUCAAAACUGUGGCUCUCAACUGUGGAUGAUUUUAUCCCUGGGAGACAUUUGGCAAUUUCUCGAGAUAUUUUGGUUGCCACACUGGGCUGGGGGUUGGGCGAGAGCAGAGAUGCUGUGGUCGGUGCCGAACAACCCUCCAUUACAGAGCAUGGUGCAGCCCAAACUGUCCCAGCUCUUUUCAAGUGUUCGAGUUGAAAAGCUACGCUUCCAUAAUGGAUCUUAGGGCCUGUGCUCCGAAGAGUGCUCUCAACCCGUUUACCUCAUUACCCCCACAGGAAGUCUACCCUGAGAUACAGCUGAUCUUGCUACAUCCUGGCUUUUUAUCCAGAACCCUCCUCUUCCUUUCACCUGGGCCAGCAGGGCGGCUGACAGAGGGCAGGCAAGGACUCCAAGCCUUAAGUGGAAUGUGGUCAAAUUAAGAUCCAUCCCUUAAUUCUUACUCAGUGGGACACCUAAGGUUUCUUAUAGGGACAGGGAAAGGACGGGGAAGCAGGAUGGGGGUAAUUAAAAGAACUCAAAUUCAAAUUUUAAUUACAAAAAAUAUUUCUGGGAAGCUAUUAAUACUACAAAAGCAAGGGAUUAGAGGCCUAACUGGAGCAAGACCCUGGUGUCUGCAGAGACACAUGGCGGGGCUGUGACCUUAAGGUCUGAAAUCCAGAGUGGAUUGGGCAGUGGUCACCCAGCCCCAUAACCUCUGCAUUGCUCAUUCCAGUAGGAAAGGGAGGGCAGGGAAGCAGGGAGAACUGUAGCAAAGUCGGGUUCAGCUGUGGCUCCCGCACCUGCCUGCCAAUUAAAGAAUAAAGGCAAGAAGUUGAAACAGGCGGCACCCGACCUUCAUUCCAGAGCAGGGAACCCAUUCCAGGUUCCCAGAGAACCCCCAGCUCAGAUCAAGGGUGUGCAGGGCUUCAGCUGUGUUCCUCUGGCCCACCAGUAGUCACUUGGUCAGUCCUGCUGCCUUGACCCCCAUCUCCAGGAGGGGCAGAGGCCAGAGGGAGUAGAGGGAGUCCAGCCCCCACUCCUUUUGAGGCACUUGUUAGAGAGAGGGCCCUUGGGUCGGUCACUGGUGGAAGGGAUCUGGUGAUGGCAUUUCUUCUGGGUUGGACACAGAAUAGGAACUCCAAGACUGCAAAACCUGAAGUUAAAAAAU